GAUGAACGCUGGCGGCGUGCCUAAUACAUGCAAGUCGAGCGAACAGACGAGGAGCUUGCUCCUCUGACGUUAGCGGCGGACGGGUGAGUAACACGUGGAUAACCUACCUAUAAGACUGGGAUAACUUCGGGAAACCGGAGCUAAUACCGGAUAACAUGUUGAACCGCAUGGUUCAACAGUGAAAGACGGUCUUGCUGUCACUUAUAGAUGGAUCCGCGCCGCAUUAGCUAGUUGGUAAGGUAACGGCUUACCAAGGCAACGAUGCGUAGCCGACCUGAGAGGGUGAUCGGCCACACUGGAACUGAGACACGGUCCAGACUCCUACGGGAGGCAGCAGUAGGGAAUCUUCCGCAAGGGGCGAAAGCCUGACGGAGCAACGCCGCGUGAGUGAAGAAGGUCUUCGGAUCGUAAAACUCUGUUAUUAGGGAAGAACAAAUGUGUAAGUAACGAUGCACGUCUUGACGGUACCUAAUCAGAAAGCCACGGCUAACUACGU
rnacentral:rRNA from 1 species